GGGGUGUAUGAAAGAAGAGAAGGUUAUUCUAUUUUGUCAAGAAUGGAAGAGACCCUGAGCCUGACCACAUGGAUAUUGUUAAGACAUCACCAACCACUUUAUAGUAUCUAACCAUUGCUUUUU